UGGAGAUUCUGGACAAGCUGUAUACAGGAUAAUCUCCCAUCCACCUCUCCCCCUUCUCUGAACAUUAUACACAGACGUGGCCAGUCUGGACGUACGUGUGUGAGUUAAAAGAAGCCAAGAAGGGGAGAAGGAAAAAGAACAGAACAAGUUAUCAAAAAAGACACUGGCCCCAUUCAAGGACACUGCUCACAGCUAAGACUUGGCUGACAACCAAGAAAAGGGGGGGCUUGAAUGUGCCCGAGCAGCUGUAAAAUCUGCAAAACACUGCCAGGCAUUAAUGAAAUGUGUUAGGUUUCUUUUCUCACAAGUAAAGAAGCGCUACCCAAAAACUCUAGCAGCCCUGCCACUCCUUAGAACCAGGAGAUUGGAUCUAUGUAAAGGUCCAUCAGUGAAAGAUUGCUUUGGCUCCAUGCUGGAAAGGCCCUUACCAAGUCCAGCUGACUACCAACGCUGCUGUGAAGUGCCAAGGACUGACUGCCUGGACCCAUGCUUCUCACUGCAAAAAGGCCUCUCUGCCCCGAGAUAAUUCCACUCGUACUAUUGAUCAGCCCGUCUUGCCUUCUCGUAUUUCUUUUCCUCCUUCUGAACAACAGGAGAAAAGGACAAGGUUAUGUGCUGGUAAUCUCUCCCUUGUUCACUGACAGAGUUAACCUGCAUUCAGUAUUUGCUAUAGAAACCAAAGCACUACAGGGUGAUGUGCUGGUAACCUCUCCCCUGUAUGAUGCUGAGCCACGAUUGCUUCAGGAAAGAAGAAGGAACACUCGCUCCACUGAAAUUGCGAAAGUUCAGGAAUUCCUGACUACAAAAGACAUUAAGAACUGAUCCUGGUGAAGAAACAAAGAAUUAUACACUGGCAG